AUUGAACGCUGGCGGCAGGCCUAACACAUGCAAGUCGAGCGAGUGGCGGACGGGUGAGUAAUGUUUGGGACUCUCUCUUAUGGAGGGGGAUAACCACGGGAAACUGUAGCUAAUACCGUAUACUCUCAGAUGCGCCAAUAGGGGAUUAGAUAGUGGGUGGGGUAAUGGCUCAUCUAGGCGACGAUCUCUAGCUGGUCUGAGAGGAUGACCAGCCACACUGGAACUGAGACACGGCCCAGACUCCUACGGGAGGCAGCAGUGGGGAAUAUUGCACAAUGGGCGCAAGCCUGAUGCAGCCAUGCCGCGUGUGUGAAGAAGGCCUUCGGGUUGUAAAGCACUUUCAGCCGGGAGGCGUUACCGGCAGAAGAAGCACCGGCUAACUCCGUGCCAGCAGCCGCGGUAAUAC
rnacentral:rRNA from 1 species